rnacentral:rRNA from 1 species
AGCAGCCGCGGUAAUUCCAGCUCCAAUAGCGUAUAUUAAAGUUGUUGCAGUUAAAAAGCUCGUAGUUGAAUUUCGGGAUUGGCGCAUCGGUCGUGCCUUACGGGGUAUGAACUGGUGCAGUCAAUUUCUCACCUUCUGGAGAACCGCGAUGUCCUUAAUUGGGUGCCGCGGGGAACCAGGACCUUUACUUUGAAAAAAUUAGAGUGUUUAAAGCAGGCAUUUUUGCUUGAAUACAUUAGCAUGGAAUAAUAAAAUAGGACGGCAUGGUUCUAUUUUGUUGGUUUCUAGGACCACCGUAAUGAUUAAUAGGGAUAGUUGGGGGCAUUAGUAUUCAAUUGUCAGAGGUGAAAUUCUUGGAUUUAUUGAAGACUAACUACUGCGAAAGCAUUUGCCAAGGAUGUUUUCAUUAAUCAAGAACGAAAGUUAGGGGAUCGAAGACGAUCAGAUACCGUCGUAGUCUUAACCAUAAACUAUGCCGACUAGGAAUCAGACGAUGUUAAUUUUUU